UAAACGUCAAGUUGGCCCAAGGAUGAAUUUAAUUGUGUUUUAACCAGCACCAGUGGGAAUAUUGUAAGGGACAUAUGAGUUAGUUUGCGGAGGCUUGGCGAAGCAAAUGUUAAAUGUCACAGAGAAUAUCAGUGUCCAAAGUUAGCUCGUUUUCCUUCAUAUCCCUCCGCCAUCGCUGAAACAUCUGCUCUCCGACCCCAAACAUGACAUGGCAGCUGCUAAAAACAAUCCGUGGAAGGCUCGGGACAAAAGACGGACAAGCUCUCACAACAGACAGCCAGAGCUGAAGCUCCAAGGAGGCCGACGUAAACCAGGCAUGAACUAACAGGCUGUUACGCAUCACUACAGUCCUUGGAGCAGAGAGCGGUGUAUUCAUGCAGAGCCAGAAGUGACCAUAUUUGGAUGAGAGGGUGGAGCUGUGGAGGAGCGAGGGGUGGAGCUGACUGAGAAACCAAGGACACUAUGGGCAGACGGUCUGUCACUCAAAGCCACCCGUCCCUACUUAUAUGUAACUUUAGAACUUAAUAACAUUUGAACAGGUGAGCCAGUGUCUGCUAACGCUCUAAAGUUUGCCUCGAAUUGUUUUUCAUCCACGCAUCCCCGUGUGUGUAACAAGCAGAGAAAAAAUAAAUAAAUAAAUAAUUAAAAAAAAAAAUAGUAUUAAACUUUAUUUAUACAGCACCUUUCAUACAAGAAAUGCAGCACAAAGUGAUUUACAAUAAGGGCAGUAUAAGCAAUGAAUUCUUCACAUGAAAAUAGAUAGA